AUAAUCUCGGAUUCUUGCUAAAAAGUGUUCAGAUGUUCUGAAACCACUCCAAAUCUACAAAUGAGAGUUUCAUAUCAGAAUCCAAUAUAAGGAACUAGUUGGAAACAGAAGGAUAUACCCGCAGAUUCUUUAGGUGGUUAAAUCCUACGUACAAGAAGUGGGUAUAAAACUAAUCUAAAGUCGAACUAAAAUGAUCUUGCCAGAAGCUGGGUUGGGUUGGGUUUGUCAAUGGUCAGAAUAGGGAGAGGCGUGAUGAUCGUCGUCCGAGGUGAAAAGAGAAAAAGAAGAGCUGCGGAAACAGGGAGAAGAUGAAGGAAGAAUUAAUAGUGAUAACGCCCUAAGACGGGAACCUUUAAUUUCUACUUUCUAUAAUUUUAUAGAAUCACUAUUCUUGAAAGAAACUUAGACCAAUGAGUACUUUAGGGUUUAGAAUAAUUUUUACUAUUUUUUACGUGCUCUUGUUCUUUUGUUCCCUUUCAAGUUGAUCGUAAAAAAAUAGAGAUUAUUAUUACGAAAUUAAAAAAAUUAAUUUCAUUUCAUGUGUGUAUAUAUAUAAUAAUGGGUGUGUUGGAGGGGAUUGGGUUUUUUGUGUUGAGCUUAGUUGAAUUGGUUGAAGAAUUGAUAAAAUAAGAAUAAUUUUUAAAAUUUCUUAUGAUUUGUUAAUUUUAAAUUUUUGUGGAUCAUAGGAAUAGGUGUGUUAGUUAAAACUUUGUGGCCAUAUAUGAAUUAGGUUUUUGAUCCAGCGUAUGUGCACUUCAAACCUCCUCGAUCUUCAUAUAUUUAUUAUAAAUAAACACUCAAAUCUUUUUUCUCCCUCACUUCAUCCAUGGCUGAUUGCGAUGACCUCUUUUUAGGUAUUGGAAUAGAUGAAAAGAAAUUAGUAGACAUGGUGAGGAGAUCGGAUUUCAAUCCGGGCAACAUUAAGAGAAGGAGGGAACUUAUAAUGAUAGAAUUUCAACGCUUCAUGAAUGCUACAUUAAUGUGGAUGACAAGUCCAGCCGAAAGAGAUGCUCGUUUGUUACGAAAGGCUAUUAAAACCAGGGGGACGCAUGUUGGCAUAAUGGUGAUCAUCGAAAUCACAUGUACUAGAGAAUUCUGUGAUGUUUCGGCAGCAAAGGAUGUUUAUCAUCAUCUUUAUAAAAGCCUGUUGGAGUUUGAUUUAUCAAGAUAUAUCGUUGGGCCCGAACAAACGCUUUUAAAUUCAUUACUAAACACUAAAAGAUGUAAGGAAACAAAUAAGGAAGAGGAGAAGAUUGUAAUGUUGGACGCAGAAACUCUUGCAAAAGCAUUCAAUGACAAAUCUGAAGUCUACAUAGAAAAUAGAGAAAUUAUAAACAUAUUGAUGUAUAGAAGCAUCUCUCACCUUCGGGCUGUCUUUGAACAAUGCAAGAAAAUAGGAGUCACGCCUAAGAAUGAUAGUCCAGACUUAUGGCUUCACACGGCAUUGACAUAUUUAGUUCACCCUAUACAAAAUUUUGUUCAAUAGCUGCUAGAGAAUUCAUUGGCGUUUAAGUUAUUGAUGGCCGAAGAAGAAGAUGUGUGGGAUAAGGAUUAUUAUUCAUUGGAGGAUUCAUUAAGUCGAAUUAUUAUAACUUGUCCCAAAGUUGAUCUUGAUAAGAUUAAGAUAAAGUUUAAGGAGACAAGUAAGAUUACACUACAAGAACGGAUUCGACUUGUAUGCAAGGGAAGCUAUAAAGAUCUCCUGCUGGGCGUGUUAUCAAAAUAACGGAAAGCUGUUGAAGAAGCAAAGCUGCAAGAAGCGCAAAGCUGCAAGAAAGCAAUGGAGUUUGUCUCUGUUUUUGUUCUUUCAUUUUUCAAAAUAAACCAAUAGGAGCGUUGAAACAUUCUAUUCUAAUUGUGAUUCUAUUGGAAUUCUUUCCUUUUUUUCUAGGCUUUUUCCUUGUUAAAAUCCUUGAAACAUUUUAUUCUAAUUGUGAUUCUAUUGGAAUUCUUUCCUUUUUUUCUAGACUUUUUCCUUGUUAGAAUCCUUGAAACAUUCUAUUCUAAUUGUGAUUCUGUUGGAA